UUCCCGGUUGAUCCUGCCGGAGGCCACUGCUAAUGGGGGUCCGACUAAGCCAUGCGAGUCAUGGGGCGCGCUCUGCGCGCACCGGCGGACGGCUCAGUAACACGUCGGUAACCUACCCUCGGGAGGGGGAUAACCCCGGGAAACUGGGGCUAAUCCCCCAUAGGCCUGAGGUACUGGAAGGUCCUCAGGCCGAAAGGGGCAUCUGCCCGCCCGAGGAUGGGCCGGCGGCCGAUUAGGUAGUUGGUGGGGUAACGGCCCACCAAGCCGAAGAUCGGUACGGGCCAUGAGAGUGGGAGCCCGGAGAUGGACACUGAGACACGGGUCCAGGCCCUACGGGGCGCAGCAGGCGCGAAACCUCCGCAAUGCGGGCAACCGCGACGGGGGGACCCCCAGUGCCGUGGCAUCGCCACGGCUUUUCCGGAGUGUAAAAAGCUCCGGGAAUAAGGGCUGGGCAAGGCCGGUGGCAGCCGCCGCGGUAAUACCGGCGGCCCGAGUGGUGGCCGCUAUUAUUGGGCCUAAAGCGUCCGUAGCCGGGCCCGUAAGUCCCUGGCGAAAUCCCACGGCUCAACCGUGGGGCUUGCUGGGGAUACUGCGGGCCUUGGGACCGGGAGAGGCCGGGGGUACCCCUGGGGUAGGGGUGAAAUCCUAUAAUCCCAGGGGGACCGCCAGUGGCGAAGGCGCCCGGCUGGAACGGGUCCGACGGUGAGGGA
rnacentral:rRNA from 1 species